UACAGAGGGUGCAAGCGUUAAUCGGAAUUACUGGGCGUAAAGCGUGCGUAGACGGUUACAUAAGUCGGGUGUGAAAGCCCCGGGCUCAACCUGGGAAUUGCAUUCGAGACUGCGUAGCUAGGGUGCGGAAGAGGGAAGCGGAAUUUCCGGUGUAGCGGUGAAAUGCGUAGAUAUCGGAAGGAACAUCAGUGGCGAAAGCGGCUUCCUGGACCAGUACCGACGUCAGGCACGAAAGCGUGGGGAGCAAACAGG
rnacentral:rRNA from 1 species